ACAGUGUUUUCAGAUGACAGAAUUACUAAGAAACCAAGUCCUGUGAGCACGACUGAGUCUCUGAAGCAGUUCGGCAUUUAGACGCCCAGAAGACGCAAGUAAUGCUAUGUGAUCCAUUUGCAAGAUUCCAAGACGUUCCAGAUAUGCAGAUGCUUCAAAAUUCUACAGGGUUUUACAAAACGUGAUGAGACUACAGAAGAGAGGUGAUGGCAGAACAUCUUGAAGUCUACAGCCCAGUCCAGUCACUAUACUUUGAAGUUCAUUGUUAAACCACACAAACAUUUCAAGACAUCAGCUUGUUGGAAACCAUAUCCAAUACAGAACAGUUGAAGGAUCCUACGGAUCAUCACUAGCUGUUGUAACCAUUUUGUGUUAUCAAUGAUAAGAACAGCUCAUUUUUCCUGAGCACCCUCUGUGAGCCAAGGUAAAUAUUCAAAGUAUUUAACCAGCCAAAGUGGACUCCGGUUGUAAGUAACCAGCACUUAUGGGACCCAGCUAAACAUCAACCAGACUCUGCGAGAUCGCUACCCUAGAGGUGAUAAACUGACAGCCACAUGUGGUUCAUGGGUGUUUUAUUUGACUGGAGUUGUGUUUAAUUUUUAAAAUGUUGUUGCUGAUAUGUUUUUUUAAAAUAGUGAGAUUUCAUACAAAGGUCCUGAGGAGGAUGCAGCACUGCAGAGCCUGCAUCGACCACAGGACCGACCUGGCAGGCCCCUUGCCUGCCUCAUAGAAGGUCCCCAGGGAAAGACCACACUUACUUUCAUGAAUAAGAUAAAAAGAAAAUAAUAACAAUCAGUGAUGAUCCACAGGACCCUCCGACUGGUCAGCUGGAGAUGAACACCCACCUGUUGAGCUUUGAGAACCACCAGCUCCCCCCAUCUGCCCCUCCUUAAACCACUCCCACCUCCCUCACUGACAUUACCUGCUUGGCCUCUGUAGCCAUCUGAGUCUCUGACCUGUUCCUGGAAGGUGCCCCUCCUCCCUCAGAAAACCAUUG